CGGAUUGCUCUACACCUGGGAAGUUUGCUACGGAAGCCUUAAAGGAGCCAGAUUUUGAAGCGCCUGCUAUUUGUUUUUCCUCUCACCUCCAGCCAUAACGCUUUAUUUGCACCCUAGUGAUUGUACCACCGCCAGCGAUUCCUCCACCAUAAACAAGAAAAUGAGUGGGAAUGAGGAGAGCAGUAGGAGACAUAAGUUGUGCUGCCGGCCUUUGCCCCAGCUAUCCUGACAUCAGAGCCUGGGCUGCAGGGCGCUUGCCUCUAGCCCGACUCUCCCUGCUCACACAGGUGACCCAGCUCUUAUGCUGCUAUCAAGCGGGGCCCAGGCCAAAGCUCAAACCCAACAGAGGCUGCACAGAAAGACCUGAAUGUCUGCUUAUAACUGAGAAACACCUCUCAGUCCAGCUUUGGAGCUUGCCAUGGAUAUAUGGGAGGCUGGUGCCCAGGUCUCGGAAAGAACUGCCAGGCUCCAUACAAGCAUUUGGGCCUCCACCACGUGGACAGCCCCACAGCAAGGAAGCCUGAAGAGUAAGUAGAGCCUGACUGGGCACAGAGCCAGAUCCAAGGACAAAUCUACUGUCUCCAGUCCCUGCAAGGAGGGCCAAGAAAGCAGCGAUAAACUUAAGGGGAUGGCAAUCAUUCUAUUUUCCAGGACUCCAUGGAGAAACAGCUAACUGAUCCACAGACUUAGAGAAUAACCAGUCCACACCGGACCAGGAGGAUUGAAGGCUCACAGAUGGAUGAAUUCAAGAAGCAAAAGUGAUAUCAUUAGGGAAGCUAAUAUGUUCUCUGGAGGGCAGUGGGGUGAG